CUUUCAAAUUGGUCAUUGCACUUUUAAAGCUCCGUAUGUAUGCAAGUCUUACAGGGUAUUUGUGCCAUAGUUAUGAUGCAAAUACUAGAAGAAGGUUAAAUAAAGUCCAAUUAAACAGUGUAGUAAUUGAGGUGAAAAUCUAUGAUUUAUGGAAAUUGCCGUGCUUCUCAACAGAAAGAAAUCAGUCACAACCAGAACUUCCAACACUGUGUUGAAUAGGAGUGGUGAGAUUUUCC
rnacentral:lncRNA from 1 species